rnacentral:lncRNA from 1 species
CUCCCUCGGGGAGGACGGCAGAGAUGGAUCUGAGGCUUCUCCUGCGGUUGAAAUCCUCCUGGACGGAUUGAGGGACGAGGAGCUGGUUGAUGCCGUGGAUGACGCCGUCGGGUCUGGUGAGGUCGUCGGGUUUGACGAUCUCGGAUGACCCGACGAGUUUUUUACGAGAGGAAGGGUGGGUGGAGAGGUGGAGGUGGUGGGAGGAGAGGGAGAGGUGCUUGGCCGGGUAGACGGCGGAGGAGGAAGGCCAGUCAGGGGAUCCGACCCGGGAAGGAAUAAUGUGGUGGAGGAGGAGGGUCUGGAGGGACUUGAGAUUGCGGGGCUCGAGGAGGAAGCGCUUGAACUCCGGGUCGAGACGGCGCUGGAGAGCUUCGUUGCGAGGAGCGAAGAUGGUUAGGUUAUGGGUUCCAACGGCGGCUUCGAGCUCCGGGAGGAGCAGGGCCUUUUCGACGAGCUCGGAGAGCUCAGUGUAGUGGGAGUCGAGGAGGGCGACGAGGACGGAGUUGGAGUUGAUUUGAUUGGUGGAUUUAGAAGGCAAUGCGGUGGAAGUGGAGAGGAGGAGGAAGAAGAAGAAGAAGAGGAAAGAGACACCAUAGAUUGGGGGAUCCAUGGUGGCUCGGGGAAUUGGGAGGUUACAGAGGUGUGGAGGUGUGAGGAAUGAGGAUGAAUUGAAGUGAAGAUUUGAGAAGAAGAAGAAGAAGAAGGAGAAGGGAUUUGGUGAGUUGGUAGUGAAAGAGGGACACGCGGAAUGUAGCGAGGAAGAAGGGAAAGGGAGAGUGGAAGAAAGAGAUGCAGAGA